rnacentral:rRNA from 1 species
GAUGAACGCUGGCGGCGUGCCUAAUACAUGCAAGUCGAGCGAACAGACGAGGAGCUUGCUCCUCUGACGUUAGCGGCGGACGGGUGAGUAACACGUGGAUAACCUACCUAUAAGACUGGGAUAACUUCGGGAAACCGGAGCUAAUACCGGAUAAUAUAUUGAACCGCAUGGUUCAAUAGUGAAAGACGGUUUUGCUGUCACUUAUAGAUGGAUCCGCGCCGCAUUAGCUAGUUGGUAAGGUAACGGCUUACCAAGGCGACGAUGCGUAGCCGACCUGAGAGGGUGAUCGGCCACACUGGAACUGAGACACGGUCCAGACUCCUACGGGAGGCAGCAGUAGGGAAUCUUCCGCAAUGGGCGAAAGCCUGACGGAGCAACGCAGCGUGAGUGAUGAAGGUCUUCGGAUCGUAAAACUCUGUUAUUAGGGAAGAACAAAUGUGUAAGUAACUAUGCACGUCUUGACGGUACCUAAUCAGAAAGCCACGGCUAACUACGU